rnacentral:misc_RNA from 1 species
AAUUAAGCAAAAAACCAUGUGUCCAUCAGCUCAAGCAACCGCAAGAAUUCAUCAAUCAAAAGUAAAUAAUCUAACUAACCUGUUCUGAUCACCGCAUGCAAAUUUUCACAAUCAUAAAUACAACCCAAUCCAGUGGAAAAAGUAGAGUAGCAAAAGAUUGCUUUGGCAUACAGUCCCAUCAAGGUGUCGGUUCAGGACUAAAAUGAAGUCAUAGCUAAUCAUAAUACAUAUAAUGUCUAGUGAACCAGCACUUAUUAUUUCAAUAAAGGAUGUCCGAUUAUUCACAUAAAAGAAAUAGUUGCAUCGCAAAAGGUUGGCUGAGGGUGUCUUGGUACAACAGUGAGUUUAUUUCACUGUGACUUGGUAGUCAGAUUUAAACCAUGAAACAAACUAAUGCCAGAAGCUUCAUGCACCAGCACACACCUUAUUUAGAAAGGUUGACCAUCCUAAUAUUUCUCAAUCAACUGUCACAUUGUGCUUUUGGUCUGGCUUCAAAGAUUCAUCCUAAGGGGAAAAAAGCACAAGAAGCCUAAUCAUAAUAAAAAAAUAUAUCUUCUUUGCUGGAACCACCAAUCAAUUUUAAGCUAGAAUGGAUGUCAAUAAAUUAUUGACAGAUUGCUCAAUUGCACAUUGUUCAGGCAAGAAACCUUCCAGGUUUUAGUGACUAUGGUAUGGACAAAGUGAAGCAAAAAAAUGGAAGUUGAUUUCACCAACCUUAGUGCAAACGUAAAUGUAAUGGACAUCAGGGUUUUUUCCAAGUGUGACUUCCACCGAGUUUCCAUCAUCACCAAGUGGAACAGGAUUUGUCAACUCCCAAAUUGGAUGUUCAGAGACUCCUCCAGAGAAAAGCUUUUCUGAACAUUGCAAACAGCAAGAUUAAGAACAUUUCAAAUUUCUGAGUUGUUACUAUUAAAAAGGAAGCCCUAGUUAGCCUAUCAUAUGAUGAUGAAUGCAGGACAACCAGUGGACAAUUUUUUCUUGAUUGGACAAUCAUAAGAACUAGAAAUUUGCUCGACACAUAUCACUAAUCCUAUUCCGGUUAUCUGAAGAGGUGUAUGUUUUGCUAUGUCAAUGUUAAGCGGAUCAAUUUGAACCCAAUAGCCAAAACAAAACACAGCAAUUACAGUUCCUUCUUUCCAUAUUAUAGUAAAAUGUAAGAUUCCAAUUCUCCCUUAAUUUAGGCAUUAAAUUUAACAUAAAAAAGGGAAAACAAAUUGUACAUAUGAGAAAAAAAUUAUUAUCAUUCAGGAAAAGGAUUAUAUUGAACCUAUCACAUGGAGUUUUAUCCUCCACAAGUAAGAUUCUCUCAACAAGCGUAAACGAUACACUGGAGCUCCAUAUGUAACCUGCAACACUUGCAAGGCUUGUCAAGGCACGUAAGUAAAAGCAAAUGCAAGUCAUGUUUUAAUUGCUGGAGUAACUCAAGAAACCAAUUUUAUUUACCAGGAUAUAUACUCCUUUAUCCCUGAGGACCCUAUAGUUUGUCAUCAACUCCAAACUUCUUCAAGCAUCUUGGCAGCAUAUUGUCUUGAAUUAUUUCCACACAAGAUAGAGUCUAGAGUUCCUUUAUCAAUAACAGCAUCAAAGGAACCUGUUUGAAAAGUACUCAUAUCUCGGACAUCCAUUUGAAUAUAUUUCAGUGGAGGACGAUUAAAAUACUUCUUCUGCAUAGCUUCAAUAACUACAGAGGAUAUAUCAACGUUUACCACAUCCUCAUAUCCAUCAUCCACCAUCCCUUCGCUAAAUGCUGAGUUGCCACAUCCAACGACGAGGAUUCGAGGGCGAUGGUAGCGAGGGGCGUAGAGAUUGAUGAGCGGAGCCAAGGAAUCAUACUUCUGGUACCAAUCGAAGGGCCCUGAUUCAUUCGCAUAUCUGUUGUCCCAGUACCAUGGCUCACCGUAUGCCUGCGUUGAUGUUCCCAUUGUCAUCCUCUCCAACUGCUCGGCCUCGGCGCUUCUUCAGUCUUGUCGUCAAUGUACUAAAGAUGGAGAGACCAUCGUUCCUCUCGGUCGAACACGAAUAGAGUUGAGGGGUAUUCUAGUUAUUUUCAUUAAGGAAAUGAAUGGCCUAAUUUAAUUAUGAAACAAACGACGCCGUAUCAUCUUCCUUGCCCCUGAAUACCACACCCAGGUGCUACAAUAAGCAGCAAAACCAAACGCAGAGCCUCUGCUAAAAAUCACAGAUCGAUGGGUUGCGUGUUCGUGAUUUGAAUCGAGCGAAAAAAUUGUAAUUGCAGAUUUUUAUUUACAAGUGUAUGUGUGGGUCAGCUCUUUAGUUUUGUAUAAGGUGAAUUCCUUGAGCCAUUGGUUCUGAGAAAUAGAGAUAGAUUAGAAAUUAUAAUUGGGACGUUAAAAUCUAGGUCUUUGAUUACUUACGUUUGACAUUGGGUAGACAGGUGUAGAAGAGAUUGACAUAAUCUCUCAAUUGCAAGAGCAAGUGGAUUCAAUUGCUUCACCUGUCUUCAGUACAACUGGACUCUAUGCGUCCCUCUCCAAAUUACCCUGAACCACCAGCUAACCUAAUGGAGGAUUUUGCAGAGCAAUCUAACUCAAAAUUUUAACUUUAUAGAGUAACUUUUGUGAAAGACGGGCAAGGGUACGCGGCCUUCCCCUUAUUCUCACGAUCUAAACCGAUGACCAUUGACGAAAGAGCAACACAACCUUACCAAUUGCAUUACACAUCUAGAGUUACUAAGAACCG